AUGUGUCCCUGCAUUUGUACUCAUGUGUAUAAUGAUAAAAUCAUAUUGUAAUUACAGUAGUUACCAUGUGUAGAUAAUUUAUUGUAACUAAUACAGGUAAUUCACAGCAAUCAAGGUACUGUAAUUUCACCAUUUUAUUCUAUUUUUAACCCAACCAUUGUAAAAUAUAUCUGUCAGUUGGACUGCAUAUUGUCUUCUGUCUUAUAGUUGUAUUUUAAAUGCCACUUUUUUGAUUAAGUGAGAUAAACAAAUGUAACUAUAGCAAAUAUAUAGAACAUCUGUUAGCCAUACGUUUUAAAGAUUGCAAAACUACACAGAUCAAUUUAAAGAAAUAAAGCAUUUUCUGAAAAUCUCCAUAAUUUCAUCAUAGGCAUGAAAUCUUUGGCAGAAUGAAGUACCCCACAUACACCACCCAGUGAGAGAUAGAGGUACCUGUUCUUUGAGGUAGCAAAGCCGGUCCAAGAGAAUCAAACCCUCUAUACAAGGGGAUAAGGCUACUUUCAGCUGAAAGAAAGAUGCAUACAAUAGUUCCAAUUGUCGAUACCAGAAACUUAACUGGACCUGCAACAUAAACACUGCCAUUACAAGAGAUGGUCAGUAAUUCUGCACAUCAGCUGCCCGAGUGAAUGUCUUUCUAGCAGCAACUACAACAUUGCAGAUUUUAGCCACCUUGUGUGCUACACAGCUAUUAUAGUCCAAGGUUUGAAGUGCACAACUCCUAUAUCAUACGGGAACUUGGGUGACGUCAAAAAAUACUUCUUCAUAAAGCGUGGUGGAAAUCUGAAACUCCGGCCCCCAAACAAACUGAUGAUGUGAGGUCAAUUGAAAAUUUCAGAACUCAGGUUCAGAAUAUGCAUGUGUAGAUAAAUAAAUAUCAGCUA